CAGUCGCCGCGGUAAUACGGAGGGAGCUAGCGUUGUUCGGAAUUACUGGGCGUAAAGCGCACGUAGGCGGUUAUUCAAGUCAGAGGUGAAAGCCCGGGGCUCAACCCCGGAACUGCCUUUGAAACUAGAUGACUGGAAUCUUGGAGAGGUCAGUGGAAUUCCGAGUGUAGAGGUGAAAUUCGUAGAUAUUCGGAAGAACACCAGUGGCGAAGGCGACUGACUGGACAAGUAUUGACGCUGAGGUGCGAAAGCGUGGGGAGCAAACAGGAUUAGAUACCCGGGUAGUCCCUGUCUCUUAUAC
rnacentral:rRNA from 1 species